GACAGAGGCCUCAAGCGUUAGGCGGAAUCACUGGGCUUAAAGCGUGUGUAGGCGGACGCCUAAGUGUCUUGUGAAAUCCCCCGGCUCACCCGGGGAACUGCUGGGCAUACUGGGCGUCUUGGGCCAACUAGGGGCAACUGGAACAAGCGGUGGAGCGGUGAAAUGCGUAGAUAUCGCUUGGAACGCCGAAGGUGAAAACAGGUUGCUGGGGUUGUGCCGACGCUGAGACACGAAAGCCAGAGGAGCAAACGGG
rnacentral:rRNA from 1 species